AAUUGACCUCGGAUCAGGUAGGGAUACCCGCUGAACUUAAGCAUAUCAAUAAGCGGAGGAAAAGAAACCAACAGGGAUUGCCUCCGUAUCGCGAGUGAAGCGGCAACAGCUCAAAUA
rnacentral:rRNA from 1 species